rnacentral:rRNA from 1 species
GCAAGUCGAACGGUAACAGGAUAGCUUGCUAUCGCUGACGAGUGGCGGACGGGUGAGUAAUACUUAGGGAUCUGCCUUGAGGUGGGGGAUAACUAUUGGAAACGAUAGCUAAUACCGCAUGACGUCUACGGACCAAAGGGGGCUUCGGCUCCCGCCUUGAGAUGAACCUAAGCGAGAUUAGCUUGUUGGUGAGGUAACGGCUCACCAAGGCGACGAUCUCUAGCUGUUCUGAGAGGAAGAUC